rnacentral:sRNA from 1 species
UAGUCCCUUUUUAUCCUCUCCAACUUCACAACAACAUCCUUCAUAGUUGGCCUUUCAUCAGGUGCAUGGCUGCAACACAUUAGGCCCACCUCAAAUAUUGGUACAAGAAGGUCAGUGAUCAGCCUGCUAGAAGCAGCAUCUUCAUGUGCAUUAUCAUUGUGGUUAGUACCACAAUCUUUGUCACAGUCCUGCAGAAGAUUGCUGUCCACAACAUCAGUAAGCCUCAGUGGAAAUGCUUGAUGAACCCACUCCCUGAGGCUCAGCUCUCCAGCAAACAUGGGAUCUGUCGGCAUCUUCCCAGUGAAAACUUCC